rnacentral:rRNA from 1 species
ACAUGCCUACAACAUAGCGUUAAUGCACUGGAUCCCAUUAGAACCCCAUAGUUAAGCGCGCACAUGAUAGAGUAGUACUGAGAUGGGUGACUUCCUGGGAAGUCCUAGUAUUUUACAUGCC